CGAAAUGCGAUAAGUAAUGUGAAUUGCAGAAUUCAGUGAAUCAUCGAAUCUUUGAACGCACAUUGCGCCCGCCAGUAUUCUGGCGGGCAUGCCUGUUCGAGCGUCAUUACAACCCUCAGGCCCCCGGGCCUGGCGUUGGGGAUCGGCGGAAGCCCCCUGCGGGCACAACGCCGUCCCCCAAAUACAGUGGCGGUCCCGCCGCAGCUUCCAUUGCGUAGUAGCUAACACCUCGCAACUGGAGAGCGGCGCGUCCACGCCGUAAAACACCCAACUUCUGAAUGUUGACCUCGAAUCAGGUAGGAAUACCCGCUGAAUUUAAGC
rnacentral:misc_RNA from 1 species